rnacentral:rRNA from 1 species
UACGGAGGGUGCAAGCGUUAUCCGGAUUCACUGGGUUUAAAGGGUGCGUAGGAGGGCAGGUAAGUCAGACGUGAAAUCCCCCGGCUUAACCUGGGAACUGCGUCUGAUACUGGGAGGCUAGAGUGCGGGAGAGGGAUGCGGAAUUCCAGGUGUAGCGGUGAAAUGCGUAGAUAUCUGGAGGAACACCGGUGGCGAAGGCGGCAUCCUGGACCGACACUGACGCUGAGGCGCGAAAGCGUGGGGAGCAAACAGG